UUUUAGGGCCGCACCCACGGCAUAUGGAGGUUCCCAGGCUAGGGGUCCAACUGAAGCUACAGCUGCUGGUCUACACCACAGCCACAGCAACAUGGGAUCCGAGCUGCGUCUGCGACCUACACCCCAGCUCCCGGCAAUGCCAGCUUCUUUAACCCACUGAGCAAGGCCGGGGAUCAAACCUGCAACCUCAUGGUUCCUAGUCAGAUUCGUUUCUGCUGCGCCACAAUGGGAAAGCCGUCUUUCAUCCACCUUUAAUGAGGAAAACGGAACAGACUGUUCCCAGCAGGAUGGACACGUCUCAUCCGUGAAGCAGGUGGCGGAGAGAUGAGACAAGAACGUCCCAAUUCUGAGCAUGACACGAAACCGAUUCUGAUGGAACAUCGGGAUUCGGAGACCUGACUUAGAGGGUCAGAGGCCUCGUUUCUAGAACUGGGGGAUGCUCCUUUCCUGCCUCCCUGCAUCCGUCACUUAUGUAACUACCGUCUCGCGAGGCGCAGUGGUGCCAGUUCUCAGGACGACGGCUUCUGUCCUUGAGCUUGGCCAUCUCGAGAACCUUCCAGUUGAAAGUGCCCAUCAACAGGGCCUAUGAUUUCCGUGAACUCCAAAGCAAAUGUUAUCUCUCUCUUUUUCACACACGGACAAACAUGUUUGUAUGAGACGGAAAAAGAACACAGUCAGCUCACGUCGAACAGCUACGCAGUGACGCCAACGGAAGAGCUUGCGAUGGACGGCGUGGGCGCUCCUGGAUUAUUUCUCCGUUUGAGGUAUUUCUUCCCCUACUCUAGCCUACCUGGGGCUCCACUUUUCCCACAGAAGUUCCUUCUUCUACAGGGAGACUCUCCCUUCGGCCGGGAGAGCACGUUGAUAAAGGGAUAAAGGAAGGCAGACAGGGAUUCUGAGGACCUGCUUCCAGUCCCACCCCGAGGUCACAGUGUGAGACCCAGGGACCUGCCAUCCACGUGGUCUUUCCUCCUCCUGCCAGGAGAACCCCACGGAUUCUAACGCCAGCCGAAAUGACAGACCACCUUCGAGGGUCUCUGAAUACCUCAUUCUCACAAAGCUGGAUGCCCUAACGCUUCCACGUCCGUCGUAGAAACAAUGCGGGCAUCACAGCUAAUCUGAUGAGCACACACAGCUCCCGGGCAUCAGAAGGUCAUUAGAAACAGGAGGAUGUUUGAGCAACGUGGACGUAACUCUUUGGCGAUUACUGUGACACUGAGCGGGAGCUGGCUCCCUGAACGACGCCCCCUCGCUGGCACGCGUUUUCCUUUCACGGGCAGGAGUGUUCGGCUCUAAGUCGCCAGGCUGAUUCAUUCACGCCCCCGUUCACUCUUGUCCAUUUCCUGACUGUGGACCUGCAACUUGCACAUCAAGGCUCCAGCACUGGGGUCUGACAAGCACAGGCUUACUCCCCACCUGGAUAUUCGUGGGAUCUGGAUGCAAUUCCCACCGAAGACCUGCUCCCUCCCACGCUUUUAGUUAUUUAUUUUUUUAAACAGUUGGGCAGUUUUUUUAUACAAACAUACACCGACUCCGUGAACCAACAAUUCUUUUUUGUAUGUGCAAAACACUACAUUUUUUUUGUCCAACUUCUGAUUAGUUUUAUUUUUUGAAUGAUUUUUAGUCUUUCCAUUAUAGCUGGCUGACAGUGUUCUGUCCGUUUUCUACUGUACAGCAAAGGGACCCAGUCACACAUACACGUAUACAUUCUUUUUCUCACAUUAUCGUCCAUCCUGCUCCAUUGUAAGGGACUAGAUGCAGCAGGAUCUCAUUGCUCAUCCACUCCAAAGGCAAUACUUUGCAUCUAUGAACCCCAGAUUCCCGGGGCAUCCCACUCCCUCCCUGUCUUCCUUGGUUUUUUAGUUUUAUUCAAGUACAGGCGAUUUACAAGCUGUGGUAAUUUCUGCUCUACGACAGAGUGAUUCAGUUACACGGAGACACACGUCCAUUCUGUGUCGUAUUCCUUUCCCACACACAGCAUCACAGAACACUGGGCAAAGUUCCCUGUGCUACAUGGCAGGUCCCCGUUGGCCAGGCAUCCCAUACACCUCAGUGUGCAUGGCUUAAACCCUUGGUCCAUCCCACUUUCCCAGUGAGUAAGUCAAGGUUCUUGUAUAAGAUAUUAUAUAGGCCACGGGAGUUCCCAUCGUGGCUCAGUGGUUAGCGAAUCCGACUAGGAACCAAGAGGUUGCGGGUUCAAUCCCUGGCCUCGCUCAGUGGGUUAAGGAUCCGACGUUGCCAUGAGCUGUGGUGUGGGUCACAGACGCGACUCAGAUCCCAAGUUGCUGUGGCUGUGGUGUCAGGAGAACCCCGGAGGGAUCCCGGGAUCAGGGCUACCCAAGUCACGACGAGUCCAAUCACCUGGGGACAGCUCGGUUACCCGAGCAGGUCCACCGUCCCUACCGUGCAACCCAAUCGGCUGGGUUUUCUGUAACUUGCAACACGUGGUCUGCCUGGUCUGCUUACACCAACACACUGGGACCCGUCCUGUCAGCCACGCCGCCCUGCCCUGGAGCUCUGCCCUGGACAGCAGUCAGUAUGUGGGACACCCCUGAGCUAAAGGAUGUCCUGGGGCUGGGACAGGGUCCCUUGCGUCACCUCGCCAGGGCAAAUCCUAGGCCAAUGAGCCGCUCACCACAAGGCCCUCUGCCAUGUUGCCCCCAGAUCUCAAGCAGGUGGGGCUACUGUCCCGGAGUGAACCCACACUUGGAACCCCCCCUUUGGCCACUGAGAUCUGAGCUGUUGGUCCCCUUUUGGGGGUCAGCCCCUCAACCCUGCCCAUCCCCUACUUUUACCCUUUCACCGUAGCCAGAAGCAUCUGGUCAUGGGUGAAGAUCAAACACUGGCAAGAAUGACUGAACUGGUAAUAUGACAGGAAUAGCAAAAUGAAUGACGAAACACAGAAUUGUUUGUGUGGGCAAGUCUCAUCAUUGAAACAAAAACAGUCUUAGGUCACAUCAGUAGCUUUUUCUCCCCUAAGAUUCUUUUCCUGAGGUGAGAAACAAGAAGUAGUUAGUGAAACACGAUACCGCCUGCUCUCCUUACUGCUCACUUAAAACGAAUUAUUAGCCUUCACUUCUCAUGCUAAUGACUUUUUAACUUCAUACACAGUGAAAUUUCAUCAUGUGUGAAUUUACUUACAUAACCCUCCUUAAUCUUCUUACAGUUUUUUAUCUAUACGAAGAGUUAGGCUUAAUAUUGGCUAUUUCUUUUUUGCUUUUGUAGGGCCCCACGUGCGGCCUAUGGAAGUUGCCAAGCUAGGGGUUGAACCGGAGCUGCAGCUGCCAGCCUACGACACCACAGCCACAGCAAUGCUGGAUCCAAGCCACAUCUGCCAUCUAACCUGGGUCAAUUCAAGCAUCCUUUUGGCGCACAGACUCUUUCUUUUGGCAGACUUUUAGCUUUACAUAAAAGCUGCAAAGAUCGUACAGAGCGUUCCCGUAUGUCCCUCACUCAGUUUCACCAACUAUUAACCUCUUACAUGGCCAAUGGCAUUUGAACCUGAGAUGGUGACAGCUAUGACCUGAGCUCCAGGGGGAUUUCGACACGGCUGGCAAAUGCCCCUUCCUCUGCUCCAAGCUCCCAUCCGGAUGCCACGCUGCACGGGGCUGUCACAGCGCCUGCGUCUUCUCUGGUUGGGGACAGUUUCUCAGGCUUUUCUUGUUCCACCGCAGUUUUAAAGGGGGUGGUGCAGUGCCUUCCACAAUUUCCUGCCAGCUGAGUUGUCUGGGAUUUUCCUCCUCAGUAGGCCAGGUUUGGGUUUGGGGACUGUCUCAGGAAAGGGAAACGUGCGCUCAGGACAAGAACAUCCAUGGUGACGGUAGCUCUGUCACCUGGUUAAGGUGCUGCCUGCCAGAUUUCUCCGGUGAGGCUACUCUUUUUCCUUUAAUUUAAUGGUGAUGCUUUAAAUCCAAGUGUCACCCAGUCACCCAAUCAUGACACGUCAGCUUGAUGGAGCCAGGAGGUGAGUCGUUUUCAGCAAGUUUUGUUGCCUUUCUUUUUUUUUCCCCGUCUUUUUCAGCUGCACCUGCAGCAUAUGGAGGUUCCCAGGCUAGGGGUCGAAUCGGAGCUGUAGCCACUAGCCUACACCACAGCCACAGUCACGCCAGACCCGAGCCGAAUCUGUGACCUGCACCACAGCUCGUGGCAAUGCCAGAUCCUUAACCCACUGAGCGAGGCCAGGGAUCGAACCUGCGUCCUCAUGAAUACCAGCUGGGUUCGUUAACCACGGAGCCACGACGGGAACUCCAGGUUUUUUUUCUGGGACAGGAUGGUGAAUUCACAGAGGAAAGCAGUGUGUGGGGUGGGUCUGGUGUAGCUGAAGAGCAGGUGCAGGAGAGAGUAGGGGUCGUGACGGGAGGAUCGAGGCCCCCCCGGGGAGGGGCACAGGAGGCCCUCGGGGCGGAGGCCCUCGGUGGGGAGUUAGCACAGCCCCACACACAGCACGUGGCUUCGCGGCCCGAUGGCGGC
rnacentral:lncRNA from 1 species